UCAAGCCGAGGUUGUUCCAUGGUCUCUAAAGUGUUACUCAUUUGGUGUGCUCACUAUAAGCUGCUGUUCCGUAUUUGAACUUGUGGCCUGCAAAUUGGUUUCACUUUGCUGCAUUUUAUACUCCUUCCGUCUAUUAACUGAUAAGAUAUAAACUAUCCUUGUUUAGUUGCUGCUCCUUGUUUAUAAUCUGUGUUCUCGGACUCGGAUAUGAAUGUUAGACACGGGUAUUUGUCUCACAUGGGUAUAUUAAAUCUUUUCAAGUUUUCCAUACGUGUUGAGG